rnacentral:piRNA from 1 species
UUGGGCACAGGUUUGGUUAUCCAAGGA